GAUGAACGCUGGCGGCGUGCCUAACACACUCAAGUCGAACGGUGACGAGGACUUCGGUCCUCCGAUCAGUGGCGGACGGGUGAGUAACGCGUGAGGAACUUGCCCCUUUGUGAGGGAUAACAACCGGAAACAGUUGCUAAUACCUCAUAAUGCAUCGAUACCGCAUGGUAAUGAUGCCAAAGAUUUAUUGCAGAGGGAUGGCCUCGCGUUGGAUUAGAUAGUUGGUAGGGUAACGGCCUACCAAGUCUGCGAUCCAUAGCCGGACUGAGAGGUUGAACGGCCACAUUGGAACUGAGAUACGGUCCAG
rnacentral:rRNA from 1 species